rnacentral:tRNA from 1 species
GCCUGGCUGGCUCAGUCAGUAGAGCAUGUGACUUUUGAUCUCAGGGUAGUGAGUGCAAGUCCCAUGUUGAGCA